GCUUUGUUGGUUCAGUAGUAGAAUUCUCACCUUCCAUGCGGGAGACUCAGGUUCUAUCCCGGAUCAAUGCA
rnacentral:tRNA from 1 species